GUUCCCCGAGCUCCCUUCCAAACUAGCCCACCCCGGUGCGUUCCUCGCCGCCCCUCCGGCCAUGUCUCCCGCUCCUGGGCCCCAUGUUGGGUUACCGGCCCCACCAUCCUUCCAGCUUCCCUGCAGAAAGCUCCCUGCCGGUCUGGGCCUCCCGCCCGUCUCCCCCACAGCCACCUCCGGCCGUAGAGAGCCCUACCCACUGGACUCCGGCGGUGGCCUGAACUCCCCGCCAUGAUUUACUGAAACCCCAUCACCUCUCGGGCUGCCCACACCAGAGCGUCGCUCCUCUGCUCUUUAACCUUUUCCAUCCACCCCAUCAUCUUCCUAAAAUUCAAAUCAUCCUUCUGCUCUAGGCUUCAGCUCCUCCCAAAGUUCACGGGACAAAACAAAAGCCAAACUCCUUCUGCAAGCAUUGAGGUGGCUCCCAGAUCUGACCCUUACUGACCCGGGCUGCCUCCCUUUUCAGGGCCAUGCCACACGCUGUCCCACUCGUCUGCCUUUUGUCCACCUCCCGUGCCCCCCAUGUCACCACCCCACACACUGUCUUCAGGUUCAGCUCACACACACACCCUCUGUGUGACGGGGGCACAGGGAGCUGCCUGCCAUACUCACCUAGACGGCCUGGCUCAUACAUGACACCCAGGCAUACAAGCCGAGGCUGUUCAUUUCUGUCACUGGUAUUGCUGCGUGGUCUCCCGGGAAGAUUUCGCCAAAACUGCCUCCUCCCUUUUCACCACAUUUUGCCUGAACUCUACAUUGGGGCUUUACAGCAGGCUUGGUUUUGCCCAUGGCUGCCUCGCUCCAAAGACACUGGGGUGGAGUCUGGUUUGCCUGGCACCUCCCCAAAACAAGCACAGAUGAGGCCCCGUGAAUGUCAAAUCCCUCCUGCUCCUGUCUCCUGAGCUCCUGCCACCGCCAGCCACUCCGAGCGAAGGCCCAUUUCACUCUGACUCCACAGAAGGC
rnacentral:lncRNA from 1 species